rnacentral:rRNA from 1 species
AACGAACGCUGGCGGCAUGCCUUACACAUGCAAGUCGAACGGCAGCACGGGUGCUUGCACCUGGUGGCGAGUGGCGAACGGGUGAGUAAUAUAUCGGAACGUACCUUAUUGUGGGGGAUAACGCAGCGAAAGCUGUGCUAAUACCGCAUAAUCCCUAAGGGGGAAAGCGGGGGACCGUAAGGCCUCGCGCAAUUAGAGCGGCCGAUACCUGAUUAGCUAGUUGGUGAGGUAAAGGCUCACCAAGGCAACGAUCAGUAGCUGGUCUGAGAGGACGAUCAGCCACACUGGGACUGAGACACGGCCCAGACUCCUACGGGAGGCAGCAGUGGGGAAUUUUGGACAAUGGGGGCAACCCUGAUCCAGCAAUGCCGCGUGAGUGAAGAAGGCCUUCGGGUUGUAAAGCUCUUUUGUCAGGGAAGAAACAGCAGCUCUAGCACAGUUUGCGAAUGACGGUACCUGAAGAAUAAGCACCGGCUAACUACGUGCCAGCAGCCGCCGUAA